rnacentral:rRNA from 1 species
AGUCGAACGGCAGCGCGGGGUAACCUGGCGGCGAGUGGCGAACGGGUGAGUAAUAUAUCGGAACGUACCCAAGAGUGGGGGAUAACGUAGCGAAAGUUACGCUAAUACCGCAUACGAUCUAAGGAUGAAAGUGGGGGAUCGCAAGACCUCAUGCUCCUGGAGCGGCCGAUAUCUGAUUAGCUAGUUGGUGAGGUAAAGGCUCACCAAGGCGACGAUCAGUAGCUGGUCUGAGAGGACGACCAGCCACACUGGAACUGAGACACGGUCCAGACUCCUACGGGAGGCAGCAGUGGGGAAUUUUGGACAAUGGGCGCAAGCCUGAUCCAGCAAUGCCGCGUGAGUGAAGAAGGCCUUCGGGUUGUAAAGCUCUUUUGUCAGGGAAGAAACGGUUGGGGCUAAUAUCCUCGGCUAAUGACGGUACCUGAAGAAUAAGCACCGGCUAACUACGUGCCAGCAGCCGCGGUAAUACGUAGGGUGCAAGCGUUAAUCGGAAUUACUGGGCGUAAAGCGUGCGCAGGCGGUUUUGUAAGUCUGUCGUGAAAGCCCCGGGCUCAACCUGGGAAUUGCGAUGGAGACUGCAAGGCUUGAAUCUGGCAGAGGGGGGUAGAAUUCCACGUGUAGCAGUGAAAUGCGUAGAGAUGUGGAGGAACACCGAUGGCGAAGGCAGCCCCCUGGGUCAAGAUUGACGCUCAUGCACGAAAGCGUGGGGAGCAAACAGGAUUAGAUACCCUGGUAGUCCACGCCCUAAACGAUGUCUACUAGUUGUCGGGUCUUAAUUGACUUGGUAACGCACCUAACGCGUGAAGUAGACCGCCUGGGGAGUACGGUCGCAAGAUUAAAACUCAAAGGAAUUGAC